UACAGAGGGGGCAAGCGUUGUUCGGAAUUACUGGGCGUAAAGGGCGCGUAGGCGGCCUUCUAAGUCGAACGUGAAAUCCCCGGGCUCAACCCGGGAACUGCGUCCGAUACUGGAAGGCUUGAAUCCGGGAGAGGGAUGCGGAAUUCCAGGUGUAGCGGUGAAAUUCGUAGAUAUCGAGAGGAACACCGGUGGCGAAGGCGGCGAUCUGGACGAUGACUGACGCUGAGACGCGAAAGCGUGGGGAGCAAACAGG
rnacentral:rRNA from 1 species